GGACAGAAGGGAGCUUGCUCCCGGAUGUUAGCGGCGGACGGGUGAGUAACACGUGGGUAACCUGCCUGUAAGACUGGGAUAACUCCGGGAAACCGGAGCUAAUACCGGAUAGUUCCUUGAACCGCAUGGUUCAAGGAUGAAAGACGGUUUCGGCUGUCACUUACAGAUGGACCCGCGGCGCAUUAGCUAGUUGGUGAGGUAACGGCUCACCAAGGCGACGAUGCGUAGCCGACCUGAGAGGGUGAUCGGCCACACUGGGACUGAGACACGGCCCAGACUCCUACGGGAGGCAGCAGUAGGGAAUCUUCCGCAAUGGACGAAAGUCUGACGGAGCAACGCCGCGUGAGUGAUGAAGGUUUUCGGAUCGUAAAGCUCUGUUGUUAGGGAAGAACAAGUGCAAGAGUAACUGCUUGCACCUUGACGGUACCUAACCAGAAAGCCACGGCUAACUACGUGCCAGCAGCCGCGGUAAUACGUAGGUGGCAAGCGUUGUCCGGAAUUAUUGGGCGUAAAGGGCUCGCAGGCGGUUUCUUAAGUCUGAUGUGAAAGCCCCCGGCUCAACCGGGGAGGGUCAUUGGAAACUGGGAAACUUGAGUGCAGAAGAGGAGAGUGGAAUUCCACGUGUAGCGGUGAAAUGCGUAGAGAUGUGGAGGAACACCAGUGGCGAAGGCGACUCUCUGGUCUGUAACUGACGCUGAGGAGCGAAAGCGUGGGGAGCGAACAGGAUUAGAUACCCUGGUAGUCCACGCCGUAAACGAUGAGUGCUAAGUGUUAGGGGGUUUCCGCCCCUUAGUGCUGCAGCUAACGCAUUAAGCACUCCGCCUGGGGAGUACGGUCGCAAGACUGAAACUCAAAGGAAUUGACGGGGGCCCGCACAAGCGGUGGAGCAUGUGGUUUAAUUCGAAGCAACGCGAAGAACCUUACCAGGUCUUGACAUCCUCUGACAACCCUAGAGAUAGGGCUUUCCCUUCGGGGACAGAGUGACAGGUGGUGCAUGGUUGUCGUCAGCUCGUGUCGUGAGAUGUUGGGUUAAGUCCCGCAACGAGCGCAACCCUUGAUCUUAGUUGCCAGCAUUCAGUUGGGCACUCUAAGGUGACUGCCGGUGACAAACCGGAGGAAGGUGGGGAUGACGUCAAAUCAUCAUGCCCCUUAUGACCUGGGCUACACACGUGCUACAAUGGACAGAACAAAGGGCUGCGAGACCGCAAGGUUUAGCCAAUCCCACAAAUCUGUUCUCAGUUCGGAUCGCAGUCUGCAACUCGACUGCGUGAAGCUGGAAUCGCUAGUAAUCGCGGAUCAGCAUGCCGCGGUGAA
rnacentral:rRNA from 1 species